GCUUCAGCCAGACAGCUGCACCUUGGCUUUUGCCAGCCUGGGUUAUACUGCAGGGUGACCCCAACACACCUCUAGUCCCAGAUCAUCCCUCAGAAAUGUGCAGAGAAUGCAAUCGGCAGGAAGAGAGAGGAGGAUGCUUUGGGAACUGGUGAGAAGACAUUCCAUGAAGUGUAAAAGGAGAGAGGGUAGUGUCCCCAGUGUCUCGCUGUAGAGCUUUUUUUUACCUCUUUGAACUAGUCUCUUUUCGAAAUGGAAGAGUCAGAGUACACCUCCCAACAUUCCCAGUAGCUAAAGCAGGACAGAUGCUGACCCCAGGGAUGGGGAGCAGAAACAGGACAGAGAGUUGCAGAGCAACUCACCCUGCAGUGGAGGAUCUUGUCUCCUCAGAGACAGAAGCUGCAUUUUCUAUCUUUGGUCUCUUCUUUCCCCUCUUGCAUAUGUUUGUCUUGUUUUUUGCUCUUAGGAAAUGGGACCAGACUUUAACUGGAGCAACAAUGACCGUUCCAGCCUAGCUCAGCUAACUACUUCUCUUUGCCCCCAAAAGGGCAGUAAUGACCAUCUGUAAUACCAUCUAAAAGACUGUCAGAUGAGGUGGUGGGUCCUUCUAAAAUCUUCCUCUAGUUAGAGAAAGGGAACAAGGCUGUUGUUAAAAUGAAA